GCCAGGCGUGGAGGCACUUGCCUGUAAUCCCAGCUGCUUGGGAGGCUGAGGCAGGAGGAUCGCUUGAACCCAGGAGACGGAGGCUGCAGUGAGCCAAGAUCGUGCCACUGCGCUUCAGCCUGGGUGACAGAGCGAGACUCUGUCUCAA
rnacentral:SRP_RNA from 1 species